CUUGUACGUGCUCUCUCUCUCAAAAUAAACAAAAAUUAAUAACAAAAAUAGAAAACUGAGUUUGUAAUUCUAACAGCUGUGCCCCAGUUGUCUGUGGGAUGUCGGCACAUCAGGUGGUGACUGCAGGCUGGUGGGUGAGGAGGACGGGGUUCCUUGUGCAUCCCCUUCUCCGCCUGACUUGGAAAUAAGCACGGUUGCCCUGGAGAGCUGGCGGGCGCGGGCACGGCGUGCCUGGUAAGGAGCAGCCGAGGAGGACGAGCCUUGCCUGCCGGCAAGCUGGAGGAGCAGACGUGCUGGGGUCUGCACUUGACUCUGGGGCCCUGGCCCUGGACGUGUGCCCGCUCCUUGACUGCAUUUCCCCUUCGUGAAGACUCCCGGUGACCCUUAGCGGGGCACAGGUUCUUAACCUGCGCCUUGGGGGGGGUGAGAGUGUCUGUUGGCAUUGCCGAGAAACCGCGGGGGUUGAGGGUCUCUUGUGCUUCACGCCGGUGGCAGUACCUGCAGAGUCGGAUCUGUUCUCGCCAGUUUGUAAUAAUGCGCUGCCGUUAACCUUGGAUUUCUGAAACUGUUUCAGCACCCAGGCAGAGGGAUCGAUGUCCGAAGAAGAAAGAUCUGGGACGUGUAUGGACCGCAGACUUGCUUAGAGGUACUGGCUUUGUUCACUUGCUUGAGCCCAGCGGGUUGUCCCCCGGUGACCCUUGUUUUGCCGAGUGUCCAGGGGCCUGGUGCGUGUUACCCAGUCCUCACACGGGGCCAGGUGUCCAUCCCCUGUUGUCCCCGCCGCCGGCAGGGCAGGACACACGCAUAUCUGUUUGUCCCACCUCCUGUUCUCGACUGUGUUUUUGGAUGACAAGUUACGUUAUGUAAAUCUUUGUGCAGAAAUCUUAGGUGAUAAACCUUAAUCCACUUAAGACAAAUCUGUCAUAGGCUGAACUUUAAAACUUUUUUUUUUUUUUUUAACAUCUUUUUAUUUUUGAGACAGAGACAGAGCACGAACAGGGGAAGGUCAGAGAGAGGGAGACACAGAAUCCGAAACAGGCUCCAGGCUCUGAGCUGUCGGCACAGAGCCUGCUGAUGUGGGGCUCGAACCCACGAACCGCGAGAUCGUGGCCUGAGCCGAAGUCGGAUGCCCAACCGACUGAGCCACCCAGGCGCCCCUAAAACGUUUUUAAUGAUACUGUCAUGUUGGUUUUCAGAAAGGUUUUCUUUCAAACACUUUCAUUUCAGGAAGAAUUUCGCAUGCCGUAAGAUACGCGUUCAGGAAAACAGAAAAAACUAGAGAUUUGCAUAUUUACCGAAUAUUUGAGUGCCGUCUUCCUGCCAGGCACUCUCAGGUGUUGAUGCACGUGCUGCCCUCACGGGGGUGGGAGGCGCCCCCAGGUACAGCGUGGGUACGGGGAGCCAGCUGUGACGUGUGGAGCAGGGUUGAAGACCUGAGCGGGGCGGGGAGGGCGAGGGUGCCACUGUGGGGCAGGUCCUGCUGUGUGCGUGGUGGCCCCAGGAGGGCCGCCCUGCAGGAGGGCUGGUGGUGAGAAGUCCGGGGAGAGAAGGUCAAAUGCAGCCGGCUGGGGGGCCGCGGACAGGGGCGGCACAUCUGCUCUGAGCCCAUGCCUGUGGGGCCAGGGUGAACCCAGGUCACUCCCUCCUUGCUCUGGAGUAGCUCCCUCGCCCUGCUACCAAUCAGAAUGUGUUCCAAGGGGGAAAGUGACCGGCCCCCUCAGCACUCCCACGUCAGGUGUGGAUGGUGUCGGCAUCUGGUCGAGGCCUCCGAGCUGGCCGGCCGGCGGGGUGCUCAGCGGUGGGGUCCACGCCCUUCGCUCCUCCCCGCCACCCAGCUCUGCUCAGCUGCCCCGGUUGCCUCAAGGCCUUCGUCCUGGACUUAAGUGCAGGGUGGGACAGGACACGGGUUCUCCUCCCCAGAGGGCAGAGUGCCGACAGGACUCUUCAUGUGUUGAUUUCCGGGAGAAGAGCCUGGCGCCCCAGAGCUCACGGCCUCGGCAGGUGCUCUCUCAGCCCUCCCGUGGCCCCGCUGCCCUCGUGAGGCAGGGCUCAGCUCUGUCGUUCCAUCUGCAAAUAGGAAAUAAAAGUGACACCAUUUCUGUAUUUUUCUCUCCGCCUCACUUUUAAAGUUGAGAAUAAUAUUGAAAAAAAUACUGCAAAAGAUAAAAAAGAUUAGCCUCCGGAGGGAGGUUCAUUGCAGGCUUCGCUCAUGUUUUCCUUGUAUGUUUGUGUUUUGCUUUGUGAUGUAAGAAUUUGCACUUGCUUAUACAUUCAUACGUCAAAAUAGGUUAAAACGUUGAGAAAAACCUCAGGUUUGAAGAAAGUUGAGGAACCGGUCGACGGACUUGGGGGGGCUCUGCAGACGUGCAGACAGGUGCACACAGACCAUGCGUCACCUGGUCAGUCAGGCUCUGGGUUUAGUGCGAGGCCGAUGAGCAGAGCCACAGGAGUUACGUGGUUGGUUUCAGAAUUCCCUGUGUCCCUGUGUUCUGUGAAAAAGCAGAAUAAUUUCUUUGGGUAAGAAGUUCAAACAGCAGUUGAACAGGCCCUCUGUUUAGUCGUGACCCCAGGGCAGAGCUGGCUGGCAUGAGGUGCCCCUUGGAGAACGGGGAGAAGGUUCUAGUUCUUUAUUUGAGGUUCCCCAGCACCCCGACUUUUCUGUGGAGGGGGAAACUGCCCCAGCCCGCUCCUUCCAGGCCUGCUCAGAAGGUUCUGGGUUCUCAUCUCAUGUGGAUCUUCUUGUUACACCUGGACCUUCAGUCGUGGUGUCGAGUCCUGCCUGUUCUCAUGUGCGGCGUGAGGCUGGAUGCUGACCACGUUUCUGUUACACCUGCUGCAGGGGAACACAGCCAGAAAGGAGCGUGCUUUUGUUGGCGUGUAUGAGUGUUUGUGUAUAUGUCCUGGUGUGUGAGUCAUUGCCAUGAACAGGGACAGUCCGUACAAUGGCUGAGCAUGAGUUUACAGCUUCUUCCAAAAACCCUAUUUGAUUGUGAGCAAGAGACUGUUAAGAAAAAAACACUAGUUUAAAAAAGUUUUUUUAAUGUUCAUUUACUUUUGAGAGAGAGAGAGAGAGAGAGACAGGGCAUGAGCGGAGGAGGGGCAGAAAGAGAGAGGGAGACAACGGAAUCCGAAGCAGGCUCCAGGCUCUGAGCUGUCAGCACAGAGCCGACGCGGGGCUCGAACUCACUGCGAGAUCAUGACCUGGGCCAAAGUCGGACGCUCAACCGACUGAGCCACCCAGGCACCCCCAAAACACCUGUUUUAAAUAACAUGUCGCACGGAUCACAAAACGUCUUAAUUGUGUUAUGAUGUUGUAUAGGAAGGGGAACUGCUACAAUUUGCUGUGUUCAAGAUGUUGAUGAAACAGGCCUCGAACUGUGAUGAUGGCGGUCGUGAACCGUAAACCACGUGUUUGUUAAUGCAGGCCUUUAAACGGAAAUACACGAAUUUUAAUAUGUGUGUAAAUAGAAGCACAGAUGCUGAAUUUAAGAACCAGAAAGAUUGCAGAAUUCAAAUUCUACUUUUGUAUACAUCACGUCUGCAAAAGGCACGUGGUUCUGUUGUCGUAAGGAACGGCCUCGGACGGGAGUGUUGUCCUAACGUCUUCCCGCUUUGUUCUGGCCGGGGGGUAGCAGGUGUGCCUACUUCCCUCGGGGGGUCGUUCUUCAGUUUUAAAACAAGGAGGAUUUUGAGUGGUCGCGUGUAUCUUUUUUGUCUCCAGCUCUUACCGACAGACCUGCUAUUGGGCCCGGACUUGAAUCGUGGGUGAUGGUCUGCUGCUUAGCAGAAAGAAUAGGGUGUUUAUGUAGAGUUCUUAAAUCACAGAACGAAGCUGUUUUCAGUCUAGUUACAGAGGUUAUCAGAACGGUUAACACGCCUCCGCAGUGGGAUUUUACUUGGCCUCUGAGUGUUUAUAAAAGAUAAUCACGUGAUAGCAGCAUAUUUGCUGUUUCUGCGUAAACUCCGGCAGUUUUUCUGGCCUCACCCCUCACCUUUCACGGGUCUGGAGGUUGUGGGAUGCGUUGUGGCUCUCAGCAGAUCAACUUCAGGCCAGCUUGCUUCCGCUUUCCUGCCCCCGUAUUCUGCCCACGUGGAGACAGUUCCUGUGUCCCCUCUCCUGAUGUUCAUGUAGAGAAACGCUUUUUUUUUUUUUAAGUUUGCUUAUUUAUUUUGAAAGAGAGAGAACAGAGGAGGCGCAGAAGGAGACAGAGAGUCCCCAGCAGGCCCUGCGCUGUCAGCACAGAGCCCGGCUCGAGGCUGUGUGUCACGAACCUUGAGAUCACGACCUGGGCUGAGGUCAAGAGUCGGACGCCUCGCCGACUGAGCCACUCAGGUGCCCUGAGAAGCACAUGGUUAAGGGUCCAAAAGAUUAGUAAUCAGCGUUUUUAGUUUCUCUAGUGACGAUGCUGUAAGUUGCUGUAUUUCAUGCCCCCUGGGCAGACGCGGGCCCUGUGCUCAGGGGACCGCCUGUACCCAUGGGGCCCCGAGGGGCUGAGGUCACCCCAAGCAAGCUGCGGUUCCUUGGGGCCUUUGCCUCAGUAGCUCUGUGCCGCUCUACUAAACGGCGGUCUUAUCUUGUGUUUUUCUUUUAGGAAGGUGCAAUCACACCCAGCGAUGAGACCCUUUUCCCUGACGUUGACUGGGUAAUUGGUAACCAUUCCGAUGAACUGACACCGUGGAUACCUGUGAUCGCAGCCAGGUGAGUAAGUGUCCCGCACAGCAGGGCGGGCGGCGGGAGGGAUUUUGUUGCCUAAACCUCGCUGUCCAGAAGUAGCCACUCGCGGCUGUGGAGCACUGGACACGGAGCUCGUUCGGACUGCGGGGAUGAGAACGUGCCGAACGUGCCGGUUUAGGGUUACGUUCUGACUGCUUCUUAAAAAAACUUUUUAAACGUUUAUUUUUGAGAGAGAGACAGAGAGAGCGUGAGCCAGGGAGGGUCAGAGGGAGAGGGGGAGACACAGAACCCCAAGCCGGCUCCAGGCUCUGAGCUGGCAGCACGAGCCCCACGCGGGGCUCGAACCCAGGAACCGCGAGAUCAUGACCCGAGCCGAAAUUGGGCAACCGACUGAGCCACCCAGGCGCCCCAUCUAACCGCUUUAUUUCACUGUUUGAGACAUGGCCAGAAGACGUCGAAGUACAUCUGGAUAGUGCUGACGAAAGCUGACCAUUUCCGCGGUAUUUCUGUCCGGGGAGACGGGUCGUGUUUUGGAAGUUGUUUUCUGAUAACAGGAGUGAGUGUCUCCAGAGGGAAAAUCUGCCAACACAGGGACGCCUCGUUCACAGAGGGGGGCCGCGGGUCGGCGGGGCCCUUGCGAGCACGCAGCUUGUGGUGGCGGCCCGGGUGUUUCCUGAUCCAGGCGUCUCGUGAGGCGUUGCGGCUCUCGCGGAGCAGCGUGGCCCGCGGAGCAAGUCUUAACGUAACCUUCCUCGUGCCCGCCUCUGAGAUCUCGCUCCCAGCCGAGAUCCCAAAACGCCUCGGGGAGUUCCACGUUUCGAGUCAGUAAGAACAACGCAGCGGAACGCACUUUGUACGGGCAGUUAGGCUCCUGGUCCGUGGGAGGCGUAGACCACGCCGCGCCGUCUCUGGGAGCCGAGCGAGGGACAGCUCGAGCUCGGGCUCCGCUCCGGAACAGCCAGGGGGAGCAGACGCUUCUGCUUCACCGCGGUGCACGAUGGCCACGUGGCUCUGCGCUGAGUGUCUUGUUUUGGGGAUUGUUUUUGAAGGUCUUGUUACAGCUGCCGUUUCUUUGUCCUUCCCUGCUGCUUCUUUGACUUCGUGGGGAAAUACGCCCGGAGGCAGAGCAGGAAGACUCAGUACCGAGAGUAUCUCGACUUCGUGACCGAGGUGGGGCUGGCCUGCGGGUUCCACGUCCAGGAGGACUGCCUGCGCAUUCCCUCCACCAAAAGGGUGCGUCCCGACCGCUUGGGGCGUCCUCGGGGGCCUCGGUGCGGCGUCGGCCUCCGGGGGGAGGGUCCGGGGCCGUGUCGCAGAGCCACAGGGGACCCCGUGACGUUCGCGAGCCCGUGCCGAUCCCGGCAUCUCGGACGCUGGUGGGGGUCAGCGGGCUCGCUCUGUCCCCGCGGCCCCCGCUCUGAAGGCCUUCUGGCGGUUCCUUCCCCAGGCCCGCAGCAGCGCUGCAGGGAGCCCUCAGCGAAUCCUCAUUUCCUUCCCAGAAACCGUGAGUGGCCCUCGGGGACCUUCCCAGAGUGGGCGUCGGCCGGACUCGUGCGGGACGUCCCAAGCUAGUUUGUCCGAGGCCGCUCACCACCUCCGGGGUCCUCGGGUUUCCCGGUCACGGGCCGAACCCGAAGUUUGGUUCCGGGUUCAGAGCGGUUCAACGUCUCGUCCCGCGCUUCAGUAAUUCCGACGUACCUGCGAUGCGGUUUGCCCAGGCAGACGCCGCCCCUGCCGCGGUCUGUGACCGCAGCACCCGUGCCCCCUGAGACCCUGCCAGCGGGCCAGUCCCCUGGAGAAGUCGAGGGAGGUGCCACCGUCAGCCUGCGUUCGUGUCGGUGGCUUCCUCUCAUCGGACUCUGUGGCCGUCUGGCUUCUCACCAUCAGCAAAGCGCAGGAACCCGUCACACCCACAUCGUGAGUUUGAGCGCUCGAUGUGGCACAGAGGACCCAGGGCAGGUUUAGGUGAACUCUCGGCCCUGGCACCGCCUGGCCGUGAACUCCGGGGCACGUUGCACACCGCAUCCGUGCCCUCGUCUGUCCGGGGGGAGGGGGGGCCCUUCUGGGCUCGUCUCACAGACUACGUAGAACGGCGCCUUCGUCGAAGGGCUCCGUGGUGGCCGAGAGGGGCCCACGAUGGCCGCAGGUACGUCAUUGCUGCCGAUGCUGCCACUGCUCACGUCACCGUGAGAGCGUUCUCGGGGACCCUGCUUCAGAGACACGAUGUCCUUCUCCUAAAUGCCCUCUGCCUUGGCAAACCGCCCUGCUGAGGCUGGGAUCGAUUCUGCCAACUGCUCGAAUUCGGGUCACGCGGGUGGGUGUUUGCACUGGUCUUUCCAGUACUAGUUGCUGGAGACCACGCACCGGUCCUUGAUCUCUCUGAGCCUCGGCUUUCUCGUCACCCUGUGGCUCUGGGGGCAAACACAAGAGCAGAUGUCCACAGGUGGCAGCUCUUUGGUGAGGACUGGUUCUGCCCGGCACGUCAGGGGACGGGCCCCGGAUCACGCCUCUGGCAGGUGACAGAGCCGGAGAGCGGUCCAGGGGCGGCUCUCGUGUAAUUAGAUUCGCUGUCUUUCGUUGCCCCUAAGCUGGCUGUGUGGUUCGUGGCCAGGAGGAAGUCCAGAGAUGCCGUGCUCGGGGCGGCGUCCUUGCCCGGGGGCUCCAGUGCGCGGGCAGCCGUCGUCAUCCUGUGUGGACGUGCAGGAAGGACAGUGCACGGAACGGACGUCCGUGCCGUGCCAAGUGCUGCCUCCCCUCUGGCAAGGUCGACAGAGGGACGUCCCGUUUUGAGAGCUCUGGGUGCCGUCCGUGUCUGCACCUGAGGGAGGGGGUGCCGGAUGAAGGCUCCCGCGAGCGACGUGUUCAGAACAGGCACGGCUGUGAGCUCGGUGCGCGUGCACUCGUACGCGUCUCGUAGGUCUCUGAGUGUCCGAGCCGCGAGACUCUUCGUGGGCUUUGGCUCUUGGUUUAUUUGGGACACUGGUAUUGGUAUUGGCUUUUAAAGUAAGCAUUUCUUUCACGAUAAGCGUCUAAAAUUUGAACGUAAUUUGUACCGCAGAACGAGAGACGCGAAUGGAAAACGCGACUUGCCACGGGAUCCUGGUAAAACACUCUGCUUUUUUCACAUGCAGGUUUGUCUCAUUGGGAAACGCAGAACAUACCCCCCCACCGGAGAAGCCCUCAUGGAUGAGCAGAGAACCCGGUACAUUAAUAGCAGGCAGGGCUGCCCCGUGAGCCCGCCCGGCCGGGAGCCU
rnacentral:lncRNA from 1 species